UGAGCAUGGUGUCCAGUGGCAGGGCUCGAUCCCAUGACCCCAAGAUCAUGACCUGAGCUGAAAUCAAGAGUCAGACACCUAGCUGACUGAGCCACACCAGCCCCCCAGUAUUUUUUCCUAAUUUUUGUAUCUGAGGAACAGAACAUGAGACAGACAUAUAUAAGCGCUGGUGUGGAGUUCUGUUUCCCAUGCACCGUUGUGCGUAAGCAGUGGUGCAUCCAUUUACCUAUCAGUAAAAUGGACGCUAAUGCCUGGUGCAGCCUGCCUUAUUAAGUUGUGAACUACACAGGAGGAAUGCAGUGUACAUUUGAGACAUUUUGAUUUUUCAUAGGUUGACAUCUUAGCUUUUGGUACAAAUGCUCAUUUGCUUGAAUAUUUAUAUUGAUUAUGUAAGGAAAUUGCCAUAACACUGAUUUGAGAAAGAAGAACGGUAAGCUUGGUUUGGGUUACUAUGCAGAACAAACUAUGCACUACACAGGCAGGCUCCCUUCCCACCCCCAUUUUAUUCAUUUAUUUAUUUGUAUUUAUUUAUAAAUAGUUAUAUUUUAUUGUAUGUAUAUAAUAGAUAUGUCCUUGUACUGAUAGUUAUCACAUUGAGAGAACAUAAACAUUGAAUUUAAUAUCUGGUCAUCUUUUUUCUCAUUUAAACAGGGAAAACGUGUAAAAUAUUGGGAAGACUUCUAAGAAAAGGGUGAUAAUACAUUUCAGUUAACACUUGGGCAUGAAAAUAAAUAUCAAUGAAUAUUAGAAUUUGUAAGUCAAAUGGCCCUGCUUCUCCAAUUGCAAUUUCUGGUUGACAUUAACAAAUGUAGUUUUGUUCACUAUUCUGUGAAUAUCAGUAUACUGAUGUGGAAUCAGUAUACUGUGCAUCAGUAUACUGCUCACCCAGCUUUUUUGUUUGAGACAUUACUAAGAGAUUUAUAUGGACUGGAACAGAUACCUUGGUAUAUCGUGUCAAAUGGAACUUUUAUUUUUAGACUUUUUUUCGUUUGUUUUUGCAUUUUGGACUUAAUUUCACAGUAAAUUGUGUAGGCCAGACAUCAUUUGGGCAUUCUGUUAAAAGUAAACCUAGUUUUCUAACCUUUUAAUUGAAAGAUAGGUGGUGCUGUGAGUUAAUGGAUUGUAGUUAGAGUGUGAGAGAAGAAUUAAAAUAGCAUUUAAAUCUUCGUGUUCAAAGGAAAGGUGUCCUCAUUACACACUGCAUCACGAUGGACUUUGUCUCAGGUGACCUGAAGAAGGAAAAGAAACAAGUAUGUUUCAGCACUUCCAUUGGUUUCAGCAGAUGGGGACAGGCGCAGGUUUGGAGGAAAGAUACCAGAUAAGAUACCAGACAGAUACCAGAAAUCUUCGUAGCACAAUUGGAACUGAGGAGUUGGAGGAUGGAUCCCUUUCUGUCCUACCUAUUGCCACUACUUGACCUCUGCACUGCAGUUGCCUUAUCAACACCAACGGAAUCACUCCCUGAGACAGCCUGGGACACGCUGCGAGUGAGGAGGAACCAGAAGAAGGGUAGAGGGACCUGGGAACAAGUCUCAGCCUGAGACAGACUUCUGUCCAUCCUCCCCGGAGAAACCUUGAGCAGCAUUUUGGAAGCACACAUCCAUUCCUGGGAGAUUCUAUUUCACCUCCGGACACCGCUUUGAAAAGAACAUGUCGCUGACCGAGGCCACUGGGUUUCCUGCCACAUUUGGAUGUCUGUCGGGCUGUGCAGACCAACAUGGCAGGGAUACACACUGCAGAGGGAAGUCAAGUUUGGUUUCAGCAUGAACUGAUUAGAUCCUUGACAUUUUCCAGGCUACUCCUUCUGUUGGCCUGGCACCCACAGGCUGAGUGUGAGAACACUUGCAAAAAGCAGAAGAACAAAACAGAAAAGUCUGCAACCAUGUGCACCUUUCAUAUUUCGGUGUGUCUCCACUCCUGGCUAUUACAGGAGGAAGAGCUUGGGGUCGAUGGCACGGUGCCCACCUUGACCCCUUUCCAAGCCCGUCCUAUAUCUGCUCACACUUGGCAAUGAUGCCCACAAUAAAGUGAGUGUCACAGGGCAGCUAGCAUGGUUUUCACGCGUGCUGUUCACUGGCCGCCUUUAUGCACUUAAUUGUAACGUGAGGCUUUCCCCAGGUUUUGGAAGGUCUUUGCCAGUGUCGUUUUAGUGGCUUUGUCAUAGUUCAUCAGAUGGCUGACCCGUGACCUACGGAAGCAGGCCCCGGCACUGGACAGGAGGUAUUACAAGGCCUGCUACGAUGGACAGGACAUCUUUGUGCAUAAAGCAGAGCUCCGGCUGCCAAAGAGGAGUCCGGCCGGGCCACCUGGUGGGCGUGGUCUCCGGACUGUCCCCUCUCCCACUGUUAAAAAGCAGUUCUUAAUUGAACAAUGAUCCAUUUCGUGGGUGAUUUCAACCCAACGUUUCUUCGCUCUUUCCCCUCUUCUCAUGUCUCUCGAAGUUAUUUCUCAGUUUGUUAACAAGCAUACCGGAAAAUUAA